CCGAACGGCAGAAGUGGUGACGGGCGCGUAUUUUCCGCCGGGCUCUUGGCCGGCGUACCUGUGCGCGUCCGUAGGUCAGCGUGGGUUGGGGCGUGGGAGUCGUUCAUGGGAAGGUC
rnacentral:rRNA from 1 species